AGGCGCGAAAGAAGAAGGUUCCAACACUAGGAAAUCGGAAAGUUCACAAGAUCGAGGCGCGAAAGAAGAAGGUUCCAACACUAGGAAAUCGGAAAGUUCACAAGAUCGAGGUAAAUCCUCAAUGUAGGCGACUUGGCAAAUUGGAGCGAGCAUACGCACACUUUAUGACCAUCAAGCGCUUCC